rnacentral:tRNA from 1 species
GGGCCGGUGGUCUAGAGGCUAUGACGCCGCCCUCACACGGCGGAGGUCGUGGGUUCGAGUCCCACCCGGCCCACCA